rnacentral:rRNA from 1 species
UACGUAGGGUGCAAGCGUUAAUCGGAAUUACUGGGCGUAAAGCGUGCGCAGGCGGUUUUGUAAGUCUGUCGUGAAAUCCCCGGGCUUAACCUGGGAAUUGCGAUGGAGACUGCAAGGCUAGAAUCUGGCAGAGGGGGGUAGAAUUCCACGUAUAGCAGUGAAAUGCGUAGAGAUGUGGAGGAACACCGAUGGCGAAGGCAGCCCCCUGGGUCAAGAUUGACGCUCAUGCACGAAAGCGUGGGGAGCAAACAGG